rnacentral:lncRNA from 1 species
CACCGCACGAUCGCCUGUCCCUCGAACGCAAGCCUCGAUCCGCCCUUCUCCGCCCCCGCGGUUUUUCGACGCGGCAUCCUAUCUUCGUUCUUCACUCGUCGCCGCAUGUACCUUGUCUCCACCUAUCACCUGCAACCACAACCUGCCAAGAGACACAUCACACGCACACCGUGUUGUCAAUCGCUCAUCACCAAGGUGCUAGCCCACCGGCAUCUCAAUCUCCCCCUUGAUGAGUGCAUUGACAACACCACACCGCACAAAUUUAUUCGUACUGAAAAAGAAAAAUAAAAAGAAAGAAAAAGAAACGAUCUUAAUCCCCAAAGACAUGGGCUAGCGAAAAAGCUAGGCUCGACACAAUCAAGACAGAAAUUCACUCUCCCCAAAGUGAAUCAAAAGCCAUAUCAAUCUCCCAAAAGCAAUCUCAGCAGCAAAACUCACAAAUUUCAGCAAAACUCCCCCUGAAUGAACGAACUCCCCCUGCAAGAAUGAAUUUGUGCGCUACUCACUCUCCCCCUUGUUGACAAAGCACUCCAUCAAGAUAAAAUGCAAGGAACCAAUUUAGAGAAAAGCAUGUGAGAAAGCACAAGUUGAAGCUUCUGAGACAUAUGCCAAAUACUUAUAAAAGCUAACCAACAACACUAGCUAUCCAGAGAAGGAACAAUACAAUGCCAUGACCAAUAAAAAUUUAGAACUGAAAUCUGUUUGAAAACUAAUGUGCCA